AAGACCAACAACAAGAACAAGAAGAACAACAAACAAACCAACAAGAAGAAGUCAAUGAACAAGAACUGACAAACCAACAAGAAGAACUGCAAGAGAAAUCUGACAUACUUCAUGCACAAGGUCAUGACCAACCACAAACACCAACCAAAGAGGACGACAAGGACAAGCUCAUAUCAGCCCUGAGAGCACAAAUGCAAGAAAUGGAACAAAAAUUCAUGGCUGAAUUGCAU